GAAACCAGAGGCAGCCAUGUGGCCACAAAAAAAAAAAAAAAAAAAAGCAAGCAGCAUUUGUUUCCUAUGGAGGUGAGCAUACGGAUAUCCAGACAGUGAGAGGCCUGGAUACUCACUCCUGCUUACUCUAUCCAUACAAGACCCUCUGAAGUGGCAGCAGAAGCUUGGUGGUCCCCUUUCCCAGCAGGGAAGCCUGGUAUGGGCCUUGCCCUGGUACGGGCCUGAGGCUGCACAGGGCCUGGGAGAUGGUAGAUGCUCAAAGGAUGCUGAAAUGAGUGAGAGCUGGGCUACCCCGGGGCAAGUUGGGGGUUCUACAGAGAGAGCAUGAACCCCGAGGGCCAUGAUGGGAUUCGAGGGGUUCACUUCUGCAACCCUGGCACCCAGCACAGGCUGUGCAGCCAACACACAACUAACAGAUGGAGUUGCAGCUACAUAACCCAGUGUGCAGAAGACAGGAGAGAUGGACAGACUCUGGGCACGCUGCAUCUGAGACCCAGUCGAUCAGGGUAAUACCCUGGCACCCUGUGGCUUUUAAACCUGCCAGCAGCUCCCCACUCCUCAGGGGUGGGGAUCCGGCCCCAAGACCAUCAGCCCUGAAUGGAAUCCUAUCACCAUGUGUCCAGGUUGGGGCUGUCAUCAA